UUCUAUACAAGAAAGGUAUAGUGCUAUCGUGUGCCCUUACACAAAUGCAUGUACAGACAAAAACAGAGACUGCUAAAUAUUUGCGUGUUGUGCAGAACCAGUGCACAGGGAUACGGCUCCCUGUACGGGAAUACAGUUCGGAGACUCCUAAGGCAUUUUUCUCGUUUUACAAAUUAUGACGGCUCAGAGGGCUGGGUACAUGAUCUCAUCUGCCCGGUGCUCGAAGGAAGCAGAAGGAAAGGGACCAGUGCAGAUGCGUAAGAAGGAAAGAAAGAAGCACCUUCUGAUCAGGUUAUUUUGUGCUCAGAAUUGCACGGAAACUUCGCUCCAGCAGGCUUCCUGCGGCAUCGCAUCUUCAGCUAUGGCCUUGUUCAGAAAGAAGCCCAGACUUUGGACCAGGCCCCUGCGUCGUACAGACUUAGCAGGAGGGACCGACUUCUUGUGCGUGUGGCUUGUACAGCACAGAGCACCUGGCGCUUAACAAGUGGACUAAAAGCCAUAUGUUAACAACCCCCUGGUUCUGCAAAUGCAGUGGUGGCAAUUGCUGUGGUAUACCUUCGCUGAACCCUGCAAUGAAAAGGAAAGCCUGGAGGCUGGAUUUGAAAGGGGGAUGAACUUGAGCUCAGGGAAACACCCCUGAUGGAGCAAAGGCGAAUGAACAACUCCUUGUGCAGAGACUUGAGAGGACACCGUGCUUGGAGGUUGUAAGAGAGUACAGGUGAAGCAAUGAGCUGAGAACUGGGAGGGAAAUUCUGGCUCUCAGUCAGAGAUUAAUAACUCAGUAACCUCAGUAGAAAGUCUGAUAGGUACAACCACAAUGGCAGAAAUCUCUCCAGCAUAUUUCAUGAUGCUUUUGAGCGUUAGUGUCUCAUUCCUCAGCCUUCUUACAUGUAGAGCACCAAGUAUUAUGAAAUGGGCCUGAAUUGCUGUGCUGGCAUGAGAUCUGGGCCUGGGAGGUGCUGAUUACUGCUGUGGAGUCACAGCACCUCCUGCAUCAAACCCAUCAGCCCUUCUCGAACACCACUGGUUUUGCUGCGGGUGAUAGCAAGUCUCCAAACUGUAAAUCCUCUAAGACAAGGCCUGGGGGUUGCUGUAGACAUGCAAAAAUGUCAGCUAUGCUUUCAGGCUAACAGAUUUGGAAGCACCUAAGUGACUUAGAAGCUUAAGUCCCUGCAAUUUAGACUUCUGUGCAGUCUAUACAUUGCUUUGACUUUCAGAAAGACCAGGGCUAUUCAGAUGUUUGUUCACUUCUAAAAACAUCCCCUCUGGUGUUUAACGAAUAACAGUGUAUUCUCACUUCAGGGGAUGAGAGUGGGUAACAGCUCACUUUUAAGAGUAUCGUAGAGGAGAACCGAAGGCCUGUCCCUUACUCAUUUCAUUUGUUUCGGUAGAAAAUAUACAGGGUUUCUUUCAGGACUUCUGAAGUUUCUUGGUUUCUUCAGGUGCCUGUUCUCCAUUUUAAUUCUGUUGUCCUCCUCCCUUUUCUAACACUUGAACUUUAAAUUCAGGUUGGGGGGGAAGGGGAAUGUCUGUUUUUUUCUCCUUUAUUGUGGUAGAGAACAGGGGAUGGAGGCCAGCUUUCUUGGACUUUUAUAUUCAAAAUACCUAUAAAUAAUUAGUUACAGGGACGUAGCUCCCCCCUCCCUUUAAGGCCUAAUUUAGGUUCUUUAUCAAAAUGAUUUAAAAUGCCUUUCUCAGUAGGAAACCAUAUUUCAGAGCUUUUAUUUAUUAGACUUCUCAAAAAGUGUGUUUUUAAUGCACAUCCUGACUUUCUGCCAAAACUGUCCAUUGAAACAUUGGGACUGGAGCAACCCUUUGUAUAGAGAGUUAUAUUUAUUAGAUUUUUACAUAUUGAUACAGAACGAUUCAUCUAAAUAAAUCAUGCACAGAAUUGGCACAUAAAUCUUCCAGUCUUCACUACUUGCUGUACUAUAUUACUAUCCUGACAACCUUCCCUCAAGUAUAGAAAAACUUUCUUCUUAGUAUACUUUUCCCUAGCCCUCUUAGUGUGUAAAUGCUGUCAGUAAUCAUCCUGGGGUAUGUAGCUUUUUUUGUUACUGUGUUUAUUGUUGUGAGGAGUAAGAGUUUGGGUUGUAGAUUUUAUUAUUUAGGGACAAGAAAAUCUUACUGUAUUUUAAAGUAGAACAAAUAGCCUUGAACUCUGCAAAAUGCAUGAGGAUCUUUAAGUAGUAAACCAAAGUCAGAUUUCAUGGUAGAUGGUCGAAUAUCUGAAUAUUUCAGCAGUAUGAGCUCAUGAUGGCACUGAGAGGAGAUUGCUUCCUUCUGUUUUAAGUACAAUAGUUCUUAUGCUGGGUGGCUAGUUUGAGGAAUAUAAUUUGCUUAAGCAGUUUCAGGACUUUCAGGGUACUAAGUGUGUGUCUGCACGUAUGUAUGUGCAUACAUCAGACCCAUCCAUCCUACGCUCCCUUCCCCCAUGCAGGUUGUUUCCUCUUCUCUGAACAGAAGUAAGUUGCAUAUAAGACAAUCUGGCCCUAAUUACUUUAAGCAAAUACAAAACCAUAAACUAUAUCCUGCAUGGGUAUGAUUCAGUGUAACCCUCUGGCAGUUUACACCAGUGAAAGCUCUGGCUGGCUGUAUUUUGAGUACCUCUCAUUAUGAAUCCUGAGGAUGUGACAGCCUUCUCUAAAAGCUGCACUUCAGUCCUUGCCAGUGCUGGUUUAAGAGCUGCUGGCUUUCCAAAGGGAUUUUGUAGUGCUGGGACCAUCACUCCAGAAGGCUGUGGUGCUUCUGACGAAAGGGCUCUGACAUCCAGGUAGUACUCUUGAAAGUUCAGAGUUUGGAAACUGGGAGCUCUGUAAGAAACCAUUACAAUAAAAGGUAGAACAGAUUCUAGCAAGUGUUCAAUCACUCAGCAUGGUGCCACUUAGAGGCAGAAGACCUUAAAACAGCCAGCAAGAUGUCUGCAGAAGAAACCUCGGCUGCCAGCUCUCGGCACUCUGUAUCCUGUCAUUUGACACUUUUCAUCUCUGGUAAGUUCGGUGAUGGGUUGCAGUAAAGGCUCGGUCAGCUAUUGGAACCUGGGCACCGCUGAUGAAGCUCACUUCAGAUGUUGUGCGGGAAAGGGCUGACUUGUGCAGUGCACCGAGUAAAGUCAGGCCUCAGCAAACACCGUGGGCUGAUAGCUUGCAUUGAGCCAUGCUGUAUAACCAAUUGCUCCUCAUCUGGUUUUGGCUUUAAGGUGGGUAUGGGUGGCUGGUGCAGACAUGCCUGUCCAGCCCUUCCAGUCCCCCUCCAGGGGCUCAGGUUUUGGAAGCCAGGACCUGCAGAGCUGGUUUCCACCCAUAGACCUUGGGGAGUCAGUGGCUGUGGUCAUGGGGGCACCAGGGUCUCUCCUUCUGCGGGAGAGCAGCUGUGAAGGUGACUGGGCCAAUAUGGAUUACACAGUCAUGAGAACAAACUUGAAAUGGUCAGCGGGGCUUCUCUUUGAAAUGUUUCCUGCUGUCUGUGAAGCUCAGAAUACCUCUAGGCUAAACACUCUUUUUCCUCUAGCUGGACUAUUUAAAUUAGCAAUGCCAAAGGCUCCACAUUUGGAGGAAAAGACCCAUGACACACUCAAUUCAUAGAUGUUAUAAGGUGACAUCUGCCACCCUAACCCUUUCUCUGGCAAGUGAAACGGGGCCAAUCCUUUCUUUUAACUGUGUGAGCGCAGAGGCCACAGCCGUCCUUUUAUUCAGUAGAAAUAGGAAAUACCAAAUUAAGUGCUAAGAUAAUUGUCAUAACUGAAACACCGAUAUCUGAUAUGGAGAUGUUUAAUUAGAAACAGGGAAACUGAGGCACAGAGGUGUAGUGACUUGCAUGAGGACAUCAGUGACGCUACUGUCAGCACUUGCCUCUGACUGGCAUCCAGCUGUCCCCAUCUAGGUCUGUCCGUGGAACCACAUUUGGGAAAGAAAACAAAAAGGAGACAAUCCUCCUGCAAAAGACCCUCCUUAAAAUGCCCAUCCUUCUUAGUACAAAUUAUGCCAUGGGAAAAGGGGGUUACCCCAGUCUGCCCAUUGUCAAAGUGUCUCAUGUCUUACUGGCAGUUUCUGGUGUUACUGGUAGCUCUGUCAGGUCUCCCUCUGGCCAACUCUAUUUGUAAAAGGGUGAUCGGAUUUAUUUGAAAGUUCAGCUAGAAGUGUGCUUGAACAAGGAGACUUUAACUCUGUAUUUAUUACUCUUUAUGUUAAGUAGUUUUAUUCAUAAAAGGAAUAAAUAUAUUCAGUUAAGAAGCAAUAAGUGCCACUAGUAAUUUUAAUAAAUGAUGACUCUAACAUUUUUUCUAUUUAACAUUCAAAACUGUUGGUAACAUUCUACCUUAAAGUAUUUUUCAUAAAAUGGCAGAAUUCUUUUAAAAUACAUUUAAAUUUGCUGCAAACAAGCAAACAAAUUUGUUUGGAUGGUAAACAAAAAUUCUGGUUUCGUUUUGAUUUCUUUUUACUUGAAAUAUAUAUGAAUGUCAUAAAAUAUUUCCAUGUACUUUAAAGAAUAAUUGAAGCAUAUGUACUCAAAGUGCAAUACUUUUCAUAAUGGUUUCAGACUAAAUUAUCCAUUAUAUGGGACUAACACAUAAAAGCCUUUCUCUACAUCAAGUGAUAGAUCAAAGGGAGGAACGAUGGCUUGUCCACAUGCAUAACCACACCUCUCAGAUUCUGAGAACAAGGAUAUGCAGUCUGCAUUUUAACUACAUCUCCAUGACAUGAAACGGUAUUCUCGUGUCUCCUACUGCGGGAGAGUCAGGUAGUCCCGGCUACAAAGAUUUCCUUUUACACUUCUCCCUUCUUUUUUUUAUUCCAUCUUCUGGAUGACAUUUCAGUGACUAGUCCCAGGUGGCUCUAAUUUGAAAACUAAAUUUUGCUCAGUUCCUCCCAGGGCAGUGGGGGAAUCUGUUGGUGGCAAGCGUGAGUCUCAGUCGGUUCCGUGGCAAAUCUGUGACCCUGGUGCCCCGUCGCCCAGCUUUGGGGAUGCGGGCAGACCCGUGCCCCGGCACGAAGCUCGUGCGACGUCAGCGGAUGCAGCACAAGGACCGUGGCGACUGCGGGCUGCCGGCCGUAUCCUGCCCAGCGCAGCGAGGCAGUCCGAGCAGGCUGGGCUUUCAGCGCCCGUCACACGAGCGCCGGCCUUUCUCUUCACCCAAGAGCUGGAUGGCUUUAGUGGUUAGAGCACAGGGUUGUGAGUCAGAUUGUCUCCUCUCUACUGGCCAGUUUGCUGCGCUCAGAUGAACUAAAAACUUUUUGUGCUUCUGUUUCCUAUCUGCAAAAUCAAUCUGGUAAUAUUUCCACCCGCACAGGGAUUCACUAAUUAGUCUACCUAAAAUGCUUUGCUUCAGAAGGAAGCUGUUAGGGAGGCAAAUGCUUGUGUGUUAUUGCUGAUAAGCGCUAAGGGAUCGUGGUAAGAUAGAGACCAAACAGUCUCAGCUUUUGUGAUAUUGUGUGAUGAGUUGUUUCAGGCGCCUUUCUAUUAGUAACAAGGAAUGCAAACUAAUUGUUUUAGUGACAUAAUUAAAGAUGUCCAUGCUUGAAAUUUGACCGCUUUAGAUUGAAAAUGUAUAGUUUCAUUUAAGUACACACUCACCCCGAGCCAGUAGAUUGGAUAUUAUUCCAAUUAUUCACAUUAGCAUCUGAUUUACAAGCAUUAAUGUACUUCCAUGAUCAGACAAUAAAGUUCCUUAAAAUAA